CCAGCCCAUGAGGAUCUACUCCAGCCUUUGGAACGCCGACGACUGGGCAACACAGGGCGGCCGGGUAAAGGCCGACUGGUCCAAGGCGCCAUUCACCGCCUCCUACAGGAACUUUAAUGCCCAGACUUCAAACGACAAGCCUGCUUCGAUGUCAUCGGGUGGUGCUUGGUAUAAUCAGGAGCUGGACUCUGCGAGCCACAAGAGGCUGAGGUGGGUGCAGAGGAACUUCAUGAUCUACAACUACUGCACUGACCGCCCUCGUUUCCCACAGGGUCUGCCAACUGAGUGCUCUGUAGCAUAAAGAUCUAUACAUGUACAUGGAGUGAUCAUUCUUUCAUUAUUUAUUUAUUUGUAAGGGGAGAAAAAUCUGUUCUCAACAGCCU
rnacentral:misc_RNA from 1 species